GGUCAAGCUACAAAGGGCUCACGGUGGAUACCUUGGCACACAGAGGCGAUGAAGGACGUGGUUACCUGCGAUAAGUCUCGGGGAGCUGGAAGCACGCUUUGAUCCGGGAAUUUCCGAAUGGGGCAACCCCUAGUACGGCCAGCUGAAUCCAUAGGCUGGCGCGAGCCAACCCAGCGAACU
rnacentral:rRNA from 1 species